GUGUCAGCCGCCGCGGUAAGACAGAGGAGCCAAGCGUUGUCCGGAUUGACUGGGCGUAAAGCGCACGCAGGUGGUCAGGCAAGUGUCGUGUGACAGCGGCCCGCUUAACGGGUCGAGGCCAUGGCAGACUACCUGACUGGAGGUCGUGAGAGGUCCGUGGAAUUGCCGGUGUAGUGGUGAAAUGCGUAGAGAUCGGCAGGAACACCCAAGGGGAAGCCAGCGGACUGGCACGAUGCUGACACUGAGGUGCGACAGCGUGGGGAGCGAACCGGAUUAGAAACCCCCGUAGUCC
rnacentral:rRNA from 1 species